rnacentral:lncRNA from 1 species
GCUUCCCCUGGGGUAGGUUGAACCGACAGGAGCUGGGUCUCGUUAUGCCUCUCUGCGUGCUGCACUCCACAGGUGGGUGCUUCACACGGCCGGACCCUUUCCACCACAGUGAGAGGAAUGCACAGCAAGGAAAUGUGCUGUCAUCGUGGGGUCUCAGAGCUGCUGGGACGUGCACCCUCAGGAUCAUCAUUACCUGCGUCUCAUCGGCCACGGCCCUGUGGCAGAUCCUCCCAGACCUCUUCCCUCUCUUGCCCUGUCCCCAAAGCCAGUCCCAGUUACCUCCAGCACCUCGAUGGAAGAUGGAGAUUUGAGAGGAGCAAGAUCUCGACGUUCUCCUGGGCAAGAGCAUCAGGCAGGAAAAUGAGCCAAGGGUCUCCUACACGCUUGAGCCCCGUAAUCUGCACCACAAGUCUGCAGGCUGGGGGGUGUCCUGUCACAAAACAGGCAAAUCUGGUGCUAAAAAGCAGGAAAACAGGCUUGAAUAAGAGCUUUAUGAGAUUGCCAUCACGAUGGUGAGUAACACGUGGCAAAUGGUAGUGUAAAUAUUCGCCCCUCAGACUUUUUGCUGUUUGUCUUGAUACUCCUUUCGCUUCAUGGAAAGCCAGUAUUUGGAAGGAAUGAGCUAACAGGUUAAAUUACACAUAUCAGUGUAAAAGCAUUGUUCCUGCAAUUAGGAUGUGAAAAGGAUACAAAUAGCUUCCUAGCUGGUUAUUUCAAAAAUAUGCAAAGUAAAAUAGAAAAUGUGUGUUAAAUCAAACACUCUGGUGCUGACUGAUGCUAAAUCACCCAGGCUGGACAAGAAGCUUUUCCUGGGAUGAAAUGCCUUGGCUCACCUUGCUGCAC